GAUGAACGCUGGCGGCGUGCCUAAUACAUGCAAGUCGAGCGACAGGACGGGAAGCUUGCUCCCUUGCUGUUAGCGGCGGACGGGUGAGUAACACGUGGAUCACCUACUUCUAUGUCUGGGAUAAUUUCGGGAAACCGCUGCUACUACUGGCUGAUAUUUUGAACCGCUUGGUUCAAAAGUGCAUGGCGGCUUUGCCGUUUCUUAUAGCUGGAUCCGCGCUGCAUUAGCUAGUUGGUAAGGUAACGGCUUACCAAGGCAACGAUGCAUAGCCGACCUGAGAGGAUGAUCAGCCACACUGGAACUGAGACACGGUCCAGACUCCUACGGGAGGCAGCAGUGGGGAAUCUUCGGCAAUGGGCGAAAGCCUGACGGAGCAACGCCGCGUGAGUGAUGAAGGUCUUCGGGUCGUAAAGCUCUGUUAUUAGGAAAGAACAGAAGUGGGAGAAUCUGUGGAUGUCUUGACGGUACCUAAAGAGAAAGCCACGGCUAACUACGUG
rnacentral:rRNA from 1 species